rnacentral:rRNA from 1 species
UACGGGGGUGGCAAGCGUUGUUCGGAAUUACUGGGCGUAAAGGGCGCGUAGGCGGGGAGAUAAGUCGGGGGUGAAAUCCCUCGGCUCAACCGAGGAACUGCGCCCGAGACUGUCUUUCUUGAGUCCCGGAGAGGAAGGUGGAAUUCCCGGUGUAGCGGUGAAAUGUGUAGAGAUCGGGAGGAACACCGGUGGCGAAGGCGGCCUUCUGGACGGUGACUGACGCUGAGACGCGAAAGCGUGGGGAGCAAACAGG